UGUAGAGCAGAGUCGAUUGAGAGAAGAAGAAAGUCGAGUGAGUGGAUCGAUUAGGAAGAGAAAAGAUGGGGAAGCAGCUGCCCCUGUGCAUGGUGUUCCUGAUGGCCUUCCUCAUCGUCUUUGCCAUGCCCUCUGUCCCUGCGGAGGCAGAUGCAGUAGCUUGCAGGCAGAAGUUUUCCUUGCUGUGUAACAUGAUUUUUUUGAGUAAUAAGACUGUGAGAGUCUGAUGUAUAUAUGUACCCCUGUGGGUCCUCCUCCUGUACCUCUCAGAUUUCGUAAAACUUGCGCCUUCUCUACCACACGUUUUUCACUUGCCAUGAUUUCUGUGAUUAGUCCAUUUAUGAGUCCUGAAUGGCAGAAUGAUUCUGGCCUGAAAAAUCUCUCGUGUUCACCAUAGAUACCAGCUGCCGUUUUGCAUUCGAGCAAGAAGAGAGAAUGUGUUUGGCAGCCACCUGAUAAACGGUAAAACCCCCUGAAAUUGGGUAGUGAAGACGACGGAAACCCUUGUGUUUAACCCUGAAACCAUGGUCAUGAUAUAUUCUAUGGUGAAUGUAGCAGUAGAUUGCAGACACAAACGGAGCGUGGUGGCAAGACUCUAGAUUCGAGUCGAGCCGACGGAUUCGUCCUGCACCUCUUAGACUUCUAUAAAAUCGUGCAAUUUGAGGAGGCACCGAUAUAAAAAAUAAAAAAUGUAUUAGUAGAUUUUUACUGCAGCUCGUCAAACCUUCAAGAUAGAGCGAUAGGAAUGACGACAAAAACAUCGGUAUCUCUAACUUGGAACGAAGCGAGGCUCUUGCCAAUUUGGCCUGAAAGAUCAAAAAUAAAAAAAUAUAGCAGUAGAUUUUUAUUGUAGCUCGUCAAGCCUUCAAGAUGGAGCGAUAUGAAUGACGACAACAGCAUCGGUCUCCCUGACUUGGAAAAGCCAAGCGUCUGCCAAUUUGGUUUGAAAGAUCCAAAAAUAAAAAAAUAUAGCAGUAGAAUUUUACUGCAACUCGUCAAGCUUUGAGAUGGAGCGAUAGGAAGAUGACGAGCACCGGUCUCCCUCACUUGGAAAGAAGAGGAGCGCCUAUCAAUUUGGCUUGGAAGAUCCAAGAGGUUGUCGCAAUUCACAUCAACGAAGACUCGUGCUGUUGACUCGGGGUCCACACAUGACGCCUGUGGAGGAGAAGGCUCAGUUCCGGUUCGGCUCCUCUAUAUAAAGGCUGGGUCUCACCCCGCAGAGCAGGGUCGAUCGAGAGAAGAAGAAGGUCGAGUGAGUGGAUCGAUUAGGAAGAGAAAAGAUGGGGAAGCAGCUGCCCCUGUGCAUGGUGUUCCUGAUGGCCUUCCUCGUCGUCUUUGCCAUGCCCUCUGUCCCUGCAGAGGCAGGGAGAGCGCUGGGGCAGGCGAGUAUUGGAACUGGAUCUGGAUCGAAGAUACCAGGCAUGACGCCUUCUGUGCCUCGUGGCCAGCCAGACGACGGCAGUCGCAGUGUCCCUGGCAGUAUCCAUGUAUGCGCAAGGGUCCCCGGAUGUAGCAACCCGCCUCCUGGAGCGCCCUGAGCUAGCUAGUCUUGCUGGUCCAACGAAUUCCCAUACCCAGACCCGACUAGUCUGGAUAACGUGGUGGUGCAGAGCGUGUGGUUCUGCGAUUAUAUUCUCGAUGUAGAAUAAGGCAUGCAUGCAGCUCAUCCUACGUAUGUAUAGUAAGUACAUGGGUGCUAAUGAGAUGGGGAAUAAAAGCCUAGCUAGCUGAAUGGCUUGGCGUCUUCUGCUGCGCAUAUAGUAUCAUAUAUGUUUAUGUUUGUGCCUAGCUAAAUUCAGGGAUGUUAAGUGUAGUCUGGCGAUUGAGGCAAGAUACCAUAAGUGUUAAGUUCAAGACAUUUUCGUGGUCCUGUAACAUGGUUCUUAUUUCAUGAAUCAAAUGAAUCGUACCAUGAAGUAGUA